GCGGCCCCUCGCCCCAGGGCGGGGCCCGAGCACCGCCGCCCACUGCGGAGCCGGGGCCCGAGGCCCAGCGCGGGGGCGCGAAUGGAGCCGUGGGGCGAUCUGGGCCAGCUGCUUCCUCGCUUGUAACUAGUAAUAACGAGUUCUUACCCCUCCCUGCGGGCUGCAGAGACCCUAUACUGCGGCCCUCGUCCCUGCCCAGACCCCCCGCCCGCUGCGGGCGGAUUCGCAGAGUUUGGGGACGUGCCCGGGCGUUUCCCCUGCCCAUUCUGUGCCCCUUCUGCCUGCUGUCGGUCUGCAGUGGUGGCAUUAGCGGGCACACCAGAGAGGAGACUUUUCUAGGGCUACCGAGUGGCAUGUCGCAAAUCCCCGUUCAGAAGUUCUCCCAGGGGCCCGGAAACCGGGCCAAGAGAUCUUCAGAUCAAAAGGAACCAUCUCCAAGGGACCACAUCUGAGGGGCCUCAUUUGUACCUGGACCUGAAUUAGAUGUCAAGGUCCUAGAUUUGGAACCUGAGUCUGAUGACUUAAUGGCUGAGACAUUGGGGGUCUUGGAAGCCAUCCAGCGGAAGCACCAGAUAUGUGAGUGAGGAUGCCGCCAUCUUGGAUAUACAGUCCAGUUGAGCCAACAUUGCCGCUAUUUGACUGCAAUCAUGUGAGAAACCUGCCCCCAUAAGUGACUACCAAGCCCAGUCAACCUAUAGUACUGUGAGAGAUAAAAAUAAUUUAUUUAAGCCACUAAGUUUUAGGGUUUCUUAUGCAGCACUAGAUAACUGAAACAGUACAAAAAAUGCAUCUGUUUUAAUAAAAAAUGUAAAUUGAAGUAAAUUGUAAACGAUCAAAACUAAAAUUACUUCUCAUGUAAGUUUUAGAAGUUAUUUUUCUUUAAACUCUUCAUAAUUAUGCAUUAAAAUUAAAAAGCAAAUAUAACUAUAAC